rnacentral:rRNA from 1 species
GCUGGCGGCAUGCCUAACACAUGCAAGUCGAACGAGAUCUUCGGAUCUAGUGGCGCACGGGUGAGUAACGCGUGGGAACCUACCUUUUAGUACGGGACAACGUUUGGAAACGAACGCUAAUACCGUAUACGCCCUCCGGGGGAAAGGUCAGCCGCUAAAAGAGGGGCCCGCGUCUGACUAGCUUGUUGGUAAGGUAAUGGCUUACCAAGGCGACGAUCAGUAGCUGGUCUGAGAGGAUGAUCAGCCACACUGGGACUGAGACACGGCCCAGACUCCUACGGGAGGCAGCAGUGGGGAAUAUUGGACAAUGGAGGCAACUCUGAUCCAGCAAUGCCGCGUGUGUGAUGAAGGCCCUAGGGUUGUAAAGCACUUUCAACGGUGAAGAUGAUGACGGUAGCCGUAGAAGAAGCCCCGGCUAACUUCGUGCCAGCAGCCGCGGUAAUACGAAGGGGGCGAGCGUUAUUCGGAAUUAUUGGGCGUAAAGGGCUCGCAGGCUGCUUGAACAGUUAGACGUGAAAUCCCCGGGCUUAACCUGGGAACUGCGUUUAAUACUAGCAAGCUAGAGAAAUAGAGAGGAAAGUGGAACUCCCAGUGUAGAGGUGAAAUUCGUAGAUAUUGGGAAGAACACCA